CUUGAUCGAGCCCAGUCGGAGCGGGGCGUCGUCGGCGCGGUCCCGGCCGUACGUGGCCAGCAGCGCCUGCGCCUC
rnacentral:antisense_RNA from 1 species